CCGAAUGGGGAAACCCAGUGUGACUCGUCACACUAUCAUUAACUGAAUCCAUAGGUUAAUGAGGCGAACCGGGGGAACUGAAACAUCUAAGUACCCCGAGGAAAAGAAAUCAACCGAGAUUCCCCCAGUAGCGGCGAGCGAACGGGGAGGAGCCCAGAGCCUGAAUCAGCAUGUGUGUUAGUGGAAGCGUCUGGAAAGGCGCGCGAUACAGGGUGACAGCCCCGUACACAAAAGCGCAUAUGCUGUGAGCUCGAUGAGUAGGGCGGGACACGUGGUAUCCUGUCUGAAUAUGGGGGGACCAUCCUCCAAGGCUAAAUACUCCUGACUGACCGAUAGUGAACCAGUACCGUGAGGGAAAGGCGAAAAGAACCCCGGCGAGGGGAGUGAAAAAGAACCUGAAACCGUGUACGUACAAGCAGUGGGAGCCCCACCACUAAGCCAGUGGUGAACUCCACAUACGCAUCCUUUGCUGAGGAUACGGUUAACGGAGCGAAAGCGACGUUCAACCGCAAAAGAAGCAGAGGGGGCUUAGUGGUGGGGUGACUGCGUACCUUUUGUAUAAUGGGUCAGCGACUUAUAUUCUGUAGCAAGGUUAACCGAAUAGGGGAGCCGGAGGGAAACCGAGUCUUAACCGGGCGUUAAGUUGCAGGGUAUAGACCCGAAACCCGGUGAUCUAGCCAUGGGCAGGUUGAAGGUUGGGUAACACUAACUGGAGGACCGAACCGACUAAUGUUGAAAAAUUAGCGGAUGACCUGUGGCUGGGGGUGAAAGGCCAAUCAAACCGGGAGAUAGCUGGUUCUCCCCGAAAGCUAUUUAGGUAGCGCCUCGUGAAUUCAUCUCCGGGGGUAGAGCACUGUUUCGGCUAGGGGGCCAUCCCGGCUUACCAACCCGAUGCAAACUGCGAAUACCGGAGAAUGUUAUCACGGGAGACACACGGCGGGUGCUAACGUCCGUCGUGAAGAGGGAAACAACCCAGACCGCCAGCUAAGGUCCCAAAGUCAUGGUUAAGUGGGAAACGAUGUGGGAAGGCCCAGACAGCCAGGAUGUUGGCUUAGAAGCAGCCAUCAUUUAAAGAAAGCGUAAUAGCUCACUGGUCGAGUCGGCCUGCGCGGAAGAUGUAACGGGGCUAAACCAUGCACCGAAGCUGCGGCAGCGAACGUAUCACUUAAAGCGAUUCAGCGGGUUACGAUUGACGGAGCGAAGCGACGUCAAAGCGUAUACAAAGUCGAGUCGGUUUAAGGAUACGUUCGUUGGGUAGGGGAGCGUUCUGUAAGCCUGUGAAGGUGUGCUGUGAGGCAUGCUGGAGGUAUCAGAAGUGCGAAUGCUGACAUAAGUAACGAUAAAGCGGGUGAAAAGCCCGCUCGCCGGAAGACCAAGGGUUCCUGUCCAACGUUAAUCGGGGCAGGGUGAGUCGACCCCUAAGGCGAGGCCGAAAGGCGUAGUCGAUGGGAAACGGGUUAAUAUUCCCGUACUUGGUGUUACUGCGAAGGGGGGACGGAGAAGGCUAUGUUGGCCGGGCGACGGUUGUCCCGGUUUAAGCGUGUAGGUGUGUGUUCCAGGUAAAUCCGGUUCACUUUAACACUGAGGCGUGA
rnacentral:rRNA from 1 species